AAGAUUAAAACUCAAAGGAAUAGACGGGGACCCGCACAAGUGGUGGAGCAUGUGUUUAAUUCGAAAAUACGCGAAGAACCUUACCUAGCCUUGACAUAUAUUAGAACAGACCAGAGAUGGGCUGGUGCUCGGGAGCUUUUAUACAGGUGCUGCACGGCUGUCGUCAGCUCGUGUCGUGAGAUGUUGGUUAAGUCCCGCAACGAGCGCAACCCUCGUCACUAGUUACUAACAGAUUAUGCUGAGGACUCUAGACAUACUGCCUGGGCAACCAGGAGGAAGGUGAGGACGACGUCAAGUCAUCAUGGCCCUUACGGCCAGGGCUACACACGUGCUACAAUGGGGUAUACAAAGAGCAGCGAUACCGCGAGGUGGAGCAAAUCUCAUAAAAUAUCUCCCAGUUCGGAUUACACUCUGCAACUCGAGUGUAUGAAGUUGGAAUCGCUAGUAAUCGUAGAUCAGCAAUGCUACGGUGAAUACGUUCCCGGGUCUUGUACUCACCGCCC
rnacentral:rRNA from 1 species